GACGAACGCUGGCGGCGUGCCUAACACAUGCAAGUCGAGCGGAGAUGCGCUGACGGAAAGCUUCGGCUGGAAGAUGGUGCAUUUUAGCGGCGGACGGGUGAGUAACGCGUGAGCAACCUUUCCUUCACAGGGGGAUAAGAUACCGAAAGGUGUUCUAAUACCGCAUGAGACCACAGAGCCACAUGGCACAGGGGUCAAAGGAGGAAUCCGGUGAAGGGUGGGCUCGCGUCCGAUUAGCUAGUUGGUGAGGUGACGGCCCACCAAGGCGACGAUCGGUAGCCGACCUGAGAGGGUGAUCGGCCACAUUGGAACUGAGAGACGGUCCAAACUCCUACGGGAGGCAGCAGUGGGGAAUAUUGGGCAAUGGGGGAAACCCUGACCCAGCAACGCCGCGUGAAGGAAGAAGGUCUUCGGAUCGUAAACU
rnacentral:rRNA from 1 species